CCUACGGGUGGCAGCAGUGGGGAAUAUUGCGCAAUGGGCGCAAGCCUGACGCAGCGACGCCGCGUGAGGGAUGAAUGCCUUCGGGUUGUAAACCUCUGUCAGCAUGGAAGUACGGUCAAUGUUCUAUUCAGCUGUGCAUUGACGUUACCCGCAAAGGACGCACAGGCUAACUCCGUGCAAGCCGCCGCGGUAAUACGGAGGGUGCGUGCGUUGAUCGGAAGUACUGGGCGUAAAGCGCACGUAGGCGGUAUGUCAAGUCAAGGGUGAAAUCCCGGGGCUCAACGUGGGAACUGCCGUUGAUACUGGCAAACUUGAGUGUAGUAGAGGUUGGUGGAAUUCGAGGUGUAGCGGUGAAAUGCGUAGAUAUCUGGAGGAACAUCGAUGGCGAAGGCGGCCAUCUGG
rnacentral:rRNA from 1 species